CUUACGAUCAGCAUCUGAGGAAGGUGUAGCGGGUGAAAGAGAGCAGGAAUGGGCAGAGAGAGCAAACAAGGCAGCUCAGAAAAAAUAUUCCACCCAGCACAGCAGGCCAUGCAUGAAGCGGGUGUCAGCGAGCGCAGCAGAAUCAGUCACUGUGAAGACGUCUAAUAGGAACUGCUGAAUACACAAUACACGGCAGCAUGGCCUGAAUGGCUAAAGUGGAAUGGCCAGAAUGGAGUCCGAAAACCCAUGCGAAAUUGUAAUUAAACCUGUAAUGAAUGUUUAAA